rnacentral:rRNA from 1 species
GUUUGAUCCUGGCUCAGGACGAACGCUGGCGGCGUGCUUAACACAUGCAAGUCGAGGGCACUAUUGGGGCAACCUGGUGGUGACCGGCGAACGGGUGCGUAACACGUGAGCGACCUUGCCUCGUGGUGGGGGAUAGCCGGCCCAACGGCCGGGUAAUACCACAUAUGGUAGUUUCUUCGCAUGGGGAGACUAGCAAAGCCGUGCAGCAAUGCACUGGCGCCACAGGGGGGGCUCGCGGCCUAUCAGCUAGUUGGGGGGGUAAUGGCCCACCAAGGCGACGACGGGUAGCUGGUCUGAGAGGAUGGCCAGCCACAUUGGGACUGAGAGACGGCCCAGACUCCUACGGGAGGCAGCAGUGGGGAAUCUUGCGCAAUGGCCGAAAGGCUGACGCAGCGACGCCGCGUGGGGGAGGAAGGCCUUCGGGUUGUAAACCCCUGUUGCCCGGGACGAAUGUGCACUUUAGAGUGCAUUGACGGUACCGGGUGAGGAAGCACCGGCUAACUCCGUGCCAGCAGCCGCGGUAAUACGGAGGGUGCAAGCGUUGUCCGGAAUCACUGGGCGUAAAGGGCGCGUAGGCGGCUCAUAAAGGCUGUGGUGAAAGUUCGGGGCUCAACCUCGAAUCGGCCGUGGCGACUUGUGGGCUGGAGCACUGUAGAGGCAGGUGGAAUUCCGGGUGUAGCGGUGGAAUGCGUAGAGAUCCGGAAGAACACCAGUGGCGAAUGCGGCCUGCUGGGCAGUGGCUGA